rnacentral:miRNA from 1 species
UAUUAAGUUGGUGCAAAAGUAAUUGCGGUUUUUGCCAUUACUUUCAAUUAGGCAAAAAACGCAAUUACUUUUGCACCAAUCUAAUACU